rnacentral:rRNA from 1 species
CUACGGGAGGCUGCAGUGAGGAAUAUUGCACAAUGGGGGGAACCCUGAUGCAGCAACGCCGCGUGGAGGAUGACGCAUUUCGGUGUGUAAACUCCUUUUAUAUGUCAAGAAAAUGACGGUAGCAUAUGAAUAAGCACCGGCUAACUCCGUGCCAGCAGCCGCGGUAAUACGGAGGGUGCAAGCGUUACUCGGAAUCACUGGGCGUAAAGGACGCGUAGGCGGGUUGGAAAGUCAGGUGUGAAAUCCUACAGCUUAACUGUAGAACUGCACUUGAAACUGGUAAUCUAGAGUAUGGGAGGGGAAGAUGGAAUUAGUGGUGUAGGGGUAAAAUCCGUAGAUAUCACUAGGAAUACCUAAAGCGAAGGCGAUCUCCUGGAACAUUACUGACGCUAAGGCGUGAAAGCGUGGGGAGCAAACAGGAUUAGAUACCCCCGUAGUC